GCCCACUGAUGAUUAUUGAAGGGCCGCAGUAUUUUGACUGUGCGAAGGUAGCAUAAUCAGUAGUUUUUUAAUUAGAAACUUGUAUGAAUGGUUGAAUGAGAUAUAUACUGUCUUUUUUAAAUUUUUGUAGAAUUUUAUUUUUUAAUUAAAAAGUUAAAAUGUAAUUAAAAGACGAGAAGACCCUAUAGAUCUUUAUUUUUGUUUAUUAUAGAUUAAAUAGAAUAAUUAAAUUUAUAUUAUAAUAAAAAAUUUUACUGGGGUGGUAUUAAAAUUUAAUAAACUUUUAUUAGUUAUUUACAUUAAUUUAUGAUUAUUUGAUCCAGUUAUAUUGAUUAAAAAAUUAAGUUACCUUAGGGAUAACAGCGUAAUUUUUUUUUAGAGUUCUUAUCGACAAAAAAGAUUGCGACCUCGAUGUUGGAUUAAGAGUUAUUUUUAGGUGUAAAAGUUUAAAGUUUAGGUCUGUUCGACCUUUGAAUUCUUACAUGAUCUGAGUUCAAACCGGCGUAAGCCAGGUUGGUUUCUAUCUUUAAUAAAAUAUUAUAUUAUAGUACGAAAGGACCUAAUAUAAAAAAUAUAAAUUUUAGGUUUAUGAAUUAUAUUAAUAUUUAAUAAAACUGUUUUGGCAGAUUAGUGCAAUAAAUUUAGAAUUUAUUUAUAUAAUUUAAUUAAUUAUAAAUAGUAUUGUUAUAUAUAGAUUAUUUAUUAUCAUUAAUUGGAAGUUUAUUAUUAGUAAUUUGCGUAAUAGUAGGAGUAGCUUUUUUAACUUUGUUGGAGCGUAAAGUUUUAGGUUAUAUUCAAAUUCGU
rnacentral:rRNA from 1 species